GCACAUUAAGGAAAAUCUGUGAGCAAGGAUCUCCAAGCUAUGGAGUUCUCAGAAUAAUACACUGGGAUGCUCAAGCCUUCAGCUUCCUCUGCUGGAAAUUAGUAGGAGACCCUGGAACUUCUGAGCACAAGCGGUCCCAGACUGCAUAAAAAGGAGAAGUCGAGUUGAGCCGCAGUAUUGUCUCUCUCUGCUUUCUGUGACACAGCAUGACCAGCGGCCUCAGGCUCUAGUUCACAGGUAAGGCUCUAGCUGAGGAUACACUCCAUGAGGUCAUACAACCACUGCUACCUCCUUCUGGUCCCCAGUCCAAACGCCAGCCCCAUGGGAGCUUGGCUUUGCAGACAGAGCUGAGGGGACAAACCUUCAGCUCGGAGCAUCAAGCAGGUGACGGAUCCACGAAGCUAUCAGUCCUCACACAUCUAGGUCCCUCCUGGAAUUCUCUUGGUGCUGGGUCUGCUUCUCAGGGUCCCAGGGCCCUGCAGCCUCCUGGAAGCUGCAGGAAGCCAGACAUAAGGUCAGAUGUGAGAAGAAUCUCUGGCCCAUUCCUGGCACUCCAAAAGCAUGCGCAUUCUUCUUACUGGUCUCCUGUGGCCUCGGAGGAGGCAAGUACUCCAUGCUGGAACUGUUUCUAAGGCCCUUAGUUUGUUCCUGGAGCUAGUGCUUCCUGCGCGAGCAAUGGUUCUCAACCUUCCCGAUGCUGUGACCCUUCAAUACAGUUCCUCCAUGUCCUGGUGGCCCCCCACCCCCAACCAUAAAUUUUUUCUUUGCUACUUCAUGUCUAUAAUUUUUACUGCUGUCAUGCGUUGUGAUACAAAUACCUGACACGCAGGGUAUCUGAUGUGUAACCCCAAUGGGGUCAUGGCCCACAGGUUGAGAACCGCUGUGCUAGACUCUGCCUUUGAGGUUACCUAAGCAAGCUAGCACACAGUCUUGAGCUCAGACAAGGGGCAACCUCUUCCAGCUUGGCAGCAGCGGGGUUUGACUGGCAAGUAACCCCAGGAAGCCUUUGUCUUCCUUCACCCCUCCAUGCCUUCACCUCUUCUAGUUUCACUUCUGUGGCUGUGAUACAAUUCACAGUUCAGUUUGCAGUCCAUCCCCACAGAGAAGUCACAGGGGCAGGAGCUUCAGACAGCUGGUCACAUUAUAUCUACAGUCGAGAGAAGAGAGGAUGCAUGCACGCUGAAUUCUUGCCUUCUUGUCCUCAGCUUGAAUUCUCCACUCUUGCACAGUUCAUUACCCGCUGCCUAGGGAAUGGUGCCUCCCAUAGUAGACGGAGUCAAUGUAGGCAUCCCCAGACUGAGACUCUUCCCAGGUGAUUCUAGGUUGUGUCAAGUUGACAAUUAAAGCCAACCAUCACACUUCGCUAAUCUGCAAAUUUGGCUUCCAUCUUUGCCCUGUCAAAUUGCCAGUUACUGAUCUUUGGUGAGCUAGAGCUGUGCAUUCGAACCAGUGCAGACAUCCCUUCGCGAUCCCCUGGCAGUGACUCACCUUACAUUCUGGGACCAGCUUGGUAGGUAAUGGAGUCUCACACUGUGGAACUAUGAAAGGCUCUGGAUGGUGGCAUCUCCUCCUGAGACCUGGUCCCUGGGUCCUUAACAGCAUGUCCUGGGGACUGUAUAUGACAUACGGCUGACAGCCCCUGCUCCGAUACUUCCUGCAGAGCCAGCAAUGGCAAUCAUUGGUUAUCAUGACACAGUGGAGUGG